UUGCUUUGGCAGCACAUAUACUAAAAUUAGAAUCAUACAGAGAAGGUUAGCCUGGAUCCUGUGCAAGGAUUCUUGAAGUGUUCCAUAUUAAA
rnacentral:snRNA from 1 species